CCAUGAGAUUCCCAAAUAAACUUCCUGCAUGCAAAUCUCCAUCUCAGCAUCUGUUUCCCUGAGGAGGAACCAACCUAAAAUGAAUUGCAAAUUAAAAUCUCAGAAGUGAGUCAAAGCAACCAGAAUUUCCCUUCCCAAGGUCAAAAUAGCCAUAAUCUGUCAGUCACUCUCACACGUAAUAAAUGUGUUCAAUGAAAAAGUGGCUACUUGAGCUUGUAACUCAAUCUCACAAGUGUUUUUCCUCUUGAAGACCAUCAUACAGCAGAAUGUUUUAUACAUAAUUCCCAUUUCAAUACACAGAAUGUUAAAAAUAUCUAAUAAAAUUCAGGAUCGGGAUUUAAUGAAUUAACAAUGUUUUCUGCUUCAUUGGGUACAUUUUUAAACAAAAGUGACAUUUCUUGUUUUCUUCCUUUUUUUAAUAAGGUGAGGGCAUGUCGGUGAUGAAACUAUCACUACUGUUCAAGGUGCCAGAAGUUUGACUUACCAUCGCUUUUGAACAAUCAUCACUACAUGUCAGCGUGGGAAAAAGAAUAAAAUAACAUCUUAAUAUUAUUAUGAAAACAGUUUUGGCCUCAUGGACCCCUUGAAAACCUAUCAGGUUAACUGCAGACCACAGUUUGACGCUUUUAAUGUAUCCUAGAGGAUAUCCUUCUUUGUAUUACUGUGGGGUACCCAUUGUCGUUGAAAUUUGUUUGAUAAUCCCCCUUUUUACCUCUCUUCUGUCAUCACUUUGAAUCACAACUUGCAUUUUUUAUUAUUAGGGUUAUCUUUUUACAUGGUCGCCUUGGCUACCCCAAUAGAUAGUAUAGUGCCUUGUUACCCAAAAUAUGGGCCGUGGACCAAUAGCAUCAGCAUCACCUAGGAGCUUUGAAAAAAAUGCAGAAAUUCAGGCCUCCUUCCAGUACUACUGAAUCACAAACUGCACUUUUCUUUUUUUUUUUUUUUUUUUUUUUUUUUAGAAGUGGGUGUAUAACUAAGUUAAGCUAUUUAGAGUAUGCUAUCCCUGUAAACAGAGUAAUUUGUCCAUUGCUGGGCAUGUGUAAGCAAGACCAAUCAGAGUCCAUUUUUUCAGAAAAAUAUGGGUGGUGGGAGAAAGGAAAUGCUCCUCUCUCUGGGAUUAUUAGCUGUAUGGAUAAUGCAAAUCCAAAAAUUGCUGUGGCCAUCUUUGCUGCAACAUAAAGGAAAGUUCUCUGAAGUGAUUCCAGAAAAGAGGAGGACAGAAGUCAGAGAUGGAGAGAGAUAGACCCUUGAUGACAUCAAAUGAGCCUCUGGAUCCAGCUCUGCCUGAAGUCAUCUGCCCCAUGAUUUUCAGUAAUGUGAAUCAACAACAUAUUCUGCUUUUCUAGCUAAUGUUAGUUUGAAUCGGGUUUCUGUUCCUUGCAACCAAGGGUUUUGACAUAAGACGAAAAACUCUGUGGGGACAUAUGUAUCAUUUAUAUUUUUUGUCCACCUUGCCUGGCAUGAUAAUUCUAUGGAAUUACAGGCAGAAAAACAGUCUCCCCUCAAAGAUGUCUACACCUUAAUCUCUGGAACCUGCUAAUAUGUUGUGUUACAUGGCAGAAGGGGCUUGCAGACUUAGUGAAAUUUACAGAUCUUGAUAUGGUGAGAUUAUUCUGUAUUAUCAGGCAGGGUUCAGGCAAAGCACAUGAGCUCUUAAAAUAGUUUCUUUUUUUCCAGGCAGAGAACAGAGGAGAGAUGAGGCAAAAGGGAAUAUUAGACAGAUUCAAAGCUUGAAAAGGACUUGAUCCACUAUGAGGCCAUUAAUGAAGGAAUGCAGGCUGCCUGUAACAGUUGAAAAUCACCCCAGCCAACACCCAGCAAGGAAAUGGAGACCAUAGUCCUCUAACUGUAUGGAACUGAAUUCUGCCAACAAAGUGAAUAAGAUGGGAAGUGAAGACCCUCCCAGAGCCUCCAGAAAGGAAGAGAGCCAUUCAGACACCUUGAUUUCAGCCUUCUGAAACUUGGAGCAGAGAGCCGGCUGUGUCAACCUGAACCUGGGUUUUUAACCUACAAAACUGAGAAAUAAUGAAUAGUGAUUUUUUUUUUUAAAGAUGGAGUCUAGCUCCGUCACCCAGGCUGGAGUGCAGUGGCACGAAUAGUGAUUGUUUUAAGCCACUAAAUUUAUGGUAGUUUUGUUAGGGCAGCAAUAGAAAACUAAUACAUAUGUAAUAUAGCAUUUUAUAAACUAAAAUGUCAGGCAAAUAUGUG
rnacentral:lncRNA from 1 species